rnacentral:rRNA from 1 species
UAAGGAAUAUUGGUCAAUGGACGCAAGUCUGAACCAGUCAUGCCGCGUGAAGGAUGAAGGUCCUCUGGAUUGUAAACUUCUUUUAUCUGGGACUAAAACGGGAUUUUUAUCUCAAUUGACGGUACCAGAGGAAUAAGCACCGGCUAACUCCGUGCCAGCAGCCGCGGUAAUACGGAGGGUGCGAGCGUUAUCCGGAUUUACUGGGUUUAAAGGGUGCGUAGGUGGGCUUAUAAGUCAGUGGUGAAAUCUCCGAGCUUAACUUGGAAACUGCCGUUGAUACUAUAGGUCUUGAAUUAUCUGGAGGUAAGCGGAAUAUGUCAUGUAGCGGUGAAAUGCUUAGAUAUGACAUAGAACACCAAUUGCGAAGGCAGCUUACUACAUAUAAAUUGACGCUGAGGCACGAAAGCGUGGGGAUCAAACA